UCUUUUAAAUGAGUAAAGGAAGUGGUUUCUUGAGAUGGAAUCUCCCCCUGGUGAAGAUGCUGUGAA
rnacentral:pre_miRNA from 1 species